AACGAACGCUGGCGGCAUGCCUAACACAUGCAAGUCGAACGAAGUCUUCGGACUUAGUGGCGCACGGGUGCGUAACGCGUGGGAAUCUGCCCUUGGGUGCGGAAUAGCUUCUCGAAAGGGAUGCUAAUACCGCAUAAUGUCGUAAGACCAAAGAUUUAUCGCCCAAGGAUGAGCCCGCGUAAGAUUAGCUAGUUGGUGGGGUAAAAGCCUACCAAGGCGACGAUCUUUAGCUGGUCUGAGAGGAUGAUCAGCCACACUGGGACUGAGACACGGCCCAGACUCCUACGGGAGGCAGCAGUGGGGAAUAUUGGACAAUGGGCGAAAGCCUGAUCCAGCAAUGCCGCGUGAGUGAUGAAGGCCCUAGGA
rnacentral:rRNA from 1 species